rnacentral:rRNA from 1 species
GGUUAAGCGACUAAGCGUACACGGUGGAUGCCCUGGCAGUCAGAGGCGAUGAAGGACGUGCUAAUCUGCGAAAAGCGCCGGCGAGGUGAUAUGAACCUUUGACCCGGCGAUGUCCGAAUGGGGAAACCCAGUGUGAUUCGUCACACUAUCGUUAACUGAAUACAUAGGUUAACUUCGUCACACUAUCGUUAACUGAAUACAUAGGUUAAC